GCCAUCGGGAUGUGGCUACUCUUUCAGAAGAAACUGGAUGAAUAUGGCGUUCACUGCCCCAUAUGAUGGCUGUUUUGUAGCCAGAAAUGUCUGUAUACAACUUAAACCAUUGGAACGGUCUCUCUGUAAAUUGACAUCUUUCCUAAUGCCCAUUGUGUUUUCAGGGGGAUACUUUCAUUCUGUCUUUAAACCUCUGGGGUUUACCUUUAAGAAUGUCAUGCCCAAAUUUGCCACAAAAACCUCCUUCCUUGACCUGUGACCCACACGGCAUGACUGUGAAACUUGAAAUGGUUGCCUCGACUAAGAACCUUACAGUAAAAGUCAAUGGUGAGUGGGAACCAUUAAUGAAGGUGGCUUCUCGCUGCGGGUUCAGUGUUUUGGAACACCUUGAAGCUGUCGAAAUAUCUGCCCCUUAUAGACCUUGUAUUCGGCCUGAGGAUGGGCUGUUCAACUUUGCAAUUGCUGCUGAUCAUGAAGUUAAACUCUCUUGUCCAUCUCGGUCUCCUGGGGACUAUGUUGACUCUCUACAUGUAGCACCAAAGCCUAAUAUCACUGCAACUUAUCCCCCUCCUGCAAAACACAUGGAAGACCCCAAACCCGCUAUUCAUGAUCCUAAGCCUAUACAACAUUCCAUACUUGAUCAAAUGGGCCUCCCUCUUUUUCCACUGCCACAAGUUCCUCAGAAUGUUUACUACCCAUAUUUCUAUCCACAAAAUGCUAAACCUCCCCAAUUACAAUCUCCAGAGACCGGCUCUUUUAGUCCAUCUAGACUUGAUGCUCAUCCUCCAGCUCCUCCAGUGAGUACACUUCCCCUGGUGCCCAAGCUGGAUUCAAGAGUUCCACCUCCCAGUUCAGAUCCUGUUCAUCCUGUUCAACAGCCCCAUUACACUCUUCAGAGUUUGUGGCCUUGGUACGCACAAGCUCUGAAACCUUCAAAGCCGGCUAUUAGUGAAAAACCUGUUUAUGCUGCUCCUCAACAUGUUGUUCCUGUGACCCCACCCCCAGCAAAACCUCUGAGCCCACACCUCCCCCUCCCAUUGAGUCCCGAAGCCAUUGGACCCAUUACUCCUAAACCGGCACAAACACCACCAGUCCCAUUUCCUGAACUCAACCUUUUGCCAAAUCAGCCUGCGUCAAUUGUUUGUCCCCCUACCCCCUGCCCCCCGGUCUGUCCUCCAUCCUAUUCCAGCUGCUGUCACAUUCAUUGCCAUCAGCACUACCACCACCACAAUCACUUUGGCCUUGCAGUUGGUGGUGCUGCUCAGUUUAUACAGUCCUCAAACACCAGGAACCAAACCAGCUUUCAGCAGCCUCUGAAUGUACCCCCAUUUGUGGCCCAAAUACAAUCCCCUGCAUCAACAUUGCUUCCAGUUUCCAAACCUCCUUCUCAACCUCCAGCACCGCAAUCAAUACAGAGCCGAAUCCAGCAACAGGCACCUUUCCAUACUUAUGGGAUAAAGGGACAAAUCUUUCCCUAUGACUCAAGUAAUUUUCUUUAUCCUGCUCAACCACCACCAGACACAUCACAUUUUCAACAUUCUUUAGUACCUCCAGUCAGACAGGAUCCUGUUCCUUGGCCAUCUUGGCAUCCACAUGGAUAUUCUUUACAUCCAAAGGGUAGUUCAGCAGACUCUCCAGAAAAGCUGAACUUCAAAAUCCCUCAACCCAGCCUUCUGCAGGAGACUAAUCACCCCUAUGAGAAACAACCUGACUCUGCCCCUGAUCUACUGUCCUCUGUUUCUCAUGGGGCACCUCAAACAUUUGCAAAAUACUGGAGGAAUGUUUUAUCCUUACCAUAUCAGCAUGCUGGUCAUCCUAAUGCUCCAAAACAACUGCAACCAGCAAAUUCCCCUCAAGGUAACGUCUCGUUUUCUCUAAUGUAGCUACUGACAUCUGCUGUUUUUGUGUGUAAUAGCAAUUUCUUCUCUUUGGUCCUUGUAGGUUAUGUGGAAAACCCCUUCCACUUCUACAAUGCUGACGAACAAAAAUAACGGUGUUCAAAUAAAGUUUUGGGGUAAACAAAAAGUCA
rnacentral:lncRNA from 1 species